rnacentral:rRNA from 1 species
GACGAACGCUGGCGGCGCGCCUAACACAUGCAAGUCGAACGAGCGAGAGAGAGCUUGCUUUCUCGAGCGAGUGGCGAACGGGUGAGUAACGCGUGAGGAACCUGCCUCAAAGAGGGGGACAACAGUUGGAAACGACUGCUAAUACCGCAUAAGCCCACGGGUCGGCAUCGACCAGAGGGAAAAGGAGCAAUCCGCUUUGAGAUGGCCUCGCGUCCGAUUAGCUCGUUGGUGAGGUAAUGGCCCACCAAGGCGACGAUCGGUAGCCGGACUGAGAGGCUGAACGGCCACAUUGGGACUGAGACACGGCCCAGACUCCUACGGGAGGCAGCGGUGGGAAAUAUUGCACAAUGGGGGAAACCCUGAUGCAGCGACGCCGCGUGGAGGAAGAAGGUCUUCGGAUUGUAAACUCCUGUUGUAGGGGAAGAUAAUGACGGUACCUAACAAGGAAGUGACGGCUAACUACGUG